rnacentral:ncRNA from 1 species
GUUGUAAGACGAGUAGACCCUAUUGAGCUUUACUGGACGUUUGCAUUAAACCGAAACAGGACCGAGCGUGGCAUGGGUGUUAUGAUCUUUCACUAAAGAAUAUCGGUUGGAAGAAUAUAUGAAAACCGACCAAUUGCAUCCAAGAGGCACACUCGGGAUGGAGCGUACAAAGUGUGAGUGAGACAGUUUGACUGGGAGGGUCGCCUUCAAGAGAGUAUCGAAGGUGAGCAGAUGGUGUGGAGGGGGGCCCAUAAAUAGAAAAAGACCAAUCAAAGAUUGGUUGGGGACAAACUGCGUACAGCGGAAUUUGUAAAAUUCCGGUGCCAAUCGAAGAUGGGCACAUACGACAGGAUGGACUCAGGGGCCCUCGGAGUUAAUAGAAUUGAGCCAGACAGUGAGGAGGACGUACCGAACUGACACCAUAGGAGGUGGGCUAUAGUGACCCGUUGGUACAGAGUGGAUUGGCCAACGAACAACGAAUAAAUGUUACCAUAGGGAUAACAGCGUAAUAUAGGCCCUGUUAGGUCCUUAGCUAAAAC